rnacentral:rRNA from 1 species
CCCUUAACAGGAUUAGAUACCCUGGUAGUCCACGCCCUAAACGAUGUCAACUGGUUGUUGGGUCUUCACUGACUCAGUAACGAAGCUAACGCGUGAAGUUGACCGCCUGGGGAGUACGGCCGCAAGGUUAAAACUCAAAGGAAUUGACGGGGACCCGCACAAGCGGUGGAUGAUGUGGUUUAAUUCGAUGCAACGCGAAAAACCUUACCCACCUUUGACAUGUACGGAAUCCUGCAGAGAUGCGGGAGUGCUCGAAAGAGAACCGUAACACAGGUGCUGCAUGGCUGUCGUCAGCUCGUGUCGUGAGAUGUUGGGUUAAGUCCCGCAACGAGCGCAACCCUUGCCAUUAGUUGCUACGAAAGGGCACUCUAAUGGGACUGCCGGUGACAAACCGGAGGAAGGUGGGGAUGACGUCAAGUCCUCAUGGCCCUUAUAGGUGGGGCUACACACGUCAUACAAUGGCUGGUACAAAGGGUUGCCAACCCGCGAGGGGGAGCCAAUCCCACAAAGCCAGUCGUAGUCCGGAUCGCAGUCUGCAACUCGACUGCGUGAAGUCGGAAUCGCUAGUAAUCGUGGAUCAGAAUGUCACGGUGAAUACGUUCCCGGGUCUUGUACACACCGCCCGUCACACCAUGGGAGCGGGUUCUGCCAGAAGUAGGUAGCCUAACCGCAAGGAGGGCGCUUACCACGGCAGGGUUCGUGACUGGGGUGAAGUCGUAACAAGGUAACC